ACUUCAUACGACCACACGAUCUUGUCUGGGCCAAGUUAGAGCCCAAAACUAUGCUUAGGCAUAGACCACUGAAAAUUUUCAUUGGUUGAUGGCUUAUGGAACUUAGGAGCCUGGGCUUUCCGUGCAGAAUGGUUACUUACAGUGAGGACGAUGAUGUUCGGAGGCUUCAUAGGAUAAUCUGUGGGAAGAAUGAUUCUACCAUGAUAGAUUCCGCCCUGAUAAUCCGUGUCGGAAGGACCACGAACUGUGAAGUGCCACUCGAAAAGAUUGUCCUCCAAAGGCUGAGCGAAAUAAUCCUUUGUGGCUGUGGACAUCUCUUGGGCUUCACGCAUCAACCGUUUAACGGCUAAAAUGAACAUCAAUUUCCUGUUACAACUUUACAUCUUAAAAUUCAGCGAUCGGAAUUGGCAGAGGACAAAUUAACAAACACCUUAUCGGAAAGUCGAUCACAUUAUUAGUGUUAAUACAAAUGGGAUUAGUUUGUGCACAUUUCGUGAUUAUUUAAGUAAACUGACCUAAUGGUGA